UACGUAGGUGGCAAGGCGUUGUCCGGAUUUACUGGGCGUAAAGGGCGUGCAGGCGGUCUGUUAAGUUCAGGGUGAAAGCUCCCGGCUCAACUGGGAGAGGUCCUUGGAUGCUGGCAGACUUGAGGGAGGUAGAGGAGAGUGGAAUUCCCGGUGUAGUGGUGAUAUGCGUAGAUAUCGGGAGGAACACCAGUGGCGAAGGCGGCUCUCUGGGCCUUUCCUGACGCUGAGACGCGAAAGCGUGGGGAGCGAACCGG
rnacentral:rRNA from 1 species